rnacentral:tRNA from 1 species
GGGUCGGUGUCCGAGUGGCCAAUGGAGUCGGACUGUAAAUCCGAUGCAAAACGCUUCAGUGGUUCAAAUCCACUCCGGCCCACCA